rnacentral:tRNA from 2 species
GUCUCCGUAGCUCAGUGGAUAGAGCAUUGGUUUCCGGUACCAAAGGUCGCAGGUUCGAAUCCUGUCGGGGACACGA